UGUCUGUCGUGGCUCGCUUCGGAUCCCUCGCCGCCUUGCCAUCAGUCCGCCCUCCAGCUGCUAACCACCGGCCAUCCUCGUGAACACUCGGCCUCAGAGUUUACCCUCACUUUCCCCUCCACAGUUAGGUUCGCUCAACUAAACGUUCCUCCGGCAUUGACGUUCAGACCUCGACGGAUCUCCACACCCGUGCGAUCCCUGUACCUGAACCCUUUAAUAAACACCUUUAAACUGCA